GACGAACGCUGGCGGCGUGCCUAAUACAUGCAAGUCGAACGAGAGCGACCGGUGCUUGCACUGGUCAAUCUAGUGGCGAACGGGUGAGUAACACGUGGGUAACCUGCCCAUCAGAGGGGGAUAACAUCCGGAAACGGAUGCUAAAACCGCAUAGGUCUUCGAGCCGCAUGGCUUGAAGAGGAAAAGAGGCGCAAGCUUCUGCUGAUGGAUGGACCCGCGGUGCAUUAGCCAGUUGGUGAGGUAACGGCUCACCAAGGCCGUGAUGCAUAGCCGACCUGAGAGGGUGAUCGGCCACAUUGGGACUGAGACACGGCCCAAACUCCUACGGGAGGCAGCAGUAGGGAAUCUUCCGCAAUGGACGCAAGUCUGACGGAGCAACGCCGCGUGAGUGAAGAAGGUUUUCGGAUCGUAAAACUCUGUUGUUAGAGAAGAACAAGUGCUAGAGUAACUGUUAGCGCCUUGGCGGUAUCUAACCAGAAAGCCACGGCUAACUACGUG
rnacentral:rRNA from 1 species